UACAGAGGGGGCAAGCGCUAUUCGGAAUUAUUGGGCGUAAAGGGCGCGUAGGCGGCUUGGCAAGUGGAUGGUGAAAUCCCUCGGCUUAACCGAGGAACUGCCGUCCAAACUGCUUCGCUUGAGACCGGGAGAGGUGAGUGGAAUUCCCAGUGUAGCGGUGAAAUGCGUUGAUAUCAUUAGGAAUACCAGAGGCGAAGGCGGCUCACUGGGCCUCAACUGACGCUGAUGCACGAAAGCUAGGGUAGCGAACGGG
rnacentral:rRNA from 1 species